rnacentral:SRP_RNA from 1 species
GCCAGGCACAGUGUCAUGUACCUGUAGUCCUAGCUAUUCGGGAGGCUGAGGUGGGAGGAUUGCUUGAGCCCAGUAGUUCUGGGCUAUAGUGUCCUAUGCUGUUCGGGUGUCCACACUAAAUUCAGGAUCGGUAUGGUGACCUUCCUGGAGUGGGGGACCACCAGGUUGUCCAAAGGUGGGUGAACCAGCCGAGAUCAGAAACACAGUUAAAACUCCCAUCCUGAUCAGUAGUAGGAGCACACCUGUGAAUAACCACUGUACUUCAGCCUGGCCAAUUACCAAGACACUCUCUCU